GCGGCAGGCCUAACACAUGCAAGUCGAGCGGAUGAAGGGAGCUUGCUCCUGGAUUCAGCGGCGGACGGGUGAGUAAUGCCUAGGAAUCUGCCUGGUAGUGGGGGAUAACGUCCGGAAACGGGCGCUAAUACCGCAUACGUCCUGAGGGAGAAAGUGGGGGAUCUUCGGACCUCACGCUAUCAGAUGAGCCUAGGUCGGAUUAGCUAGUUGGUGGGGUAAAGGCCUACCAAGGCGACGAUCCGUAACUGGUCUGAGAGGAUGAUCAGUCACACUGGAACUGAGACACGGUCCAGACUCCUACGGGAGGCAGCAGUGGGGAAUAUUGGACAAUGGGCGAAAGCCUGAUCCAGCCAUGCCGCGUGUGUGAAGAAGGUCUUCG
rnacentral:rRNA from 1 species